rnacentral:lncRNA from 1 species
CUCUUUACUAUGCUUUUGCUUGUAUUAGCAUCUUAUAUUGACAUUGAAUACUAUAAUUAGCAUCUGAUCUUGCACAGGGCUCACCUGAGACAUGAACAGAUUGCCCAGAGAAGUUGUGGAUGCCCCAUCCCUGGAGGUGUUCAAGACCAGGUUAGAUGAGGCCUUGAGCAACCUGAUCUAGUGGGCAGCAUCCCUGCCUAUGGCAGGGGGGUUGGAACUAGAUGAUCCUUGAGGCCCCUUCCAACCCAAGCCAUUCUAUGAUUCUACGAGAGACAAGGCACAGUCACUCAAAUCAAGGGAAUUAAUGUGCUCCCUCACAUUACCUCCUGAGGGACAUCCACAUCUACAGUGUAAAGUACAAUAAAAGACAGAAAAUUGGGUUGUUGGGACUCUGCAGAGUGAGAAGGAUGGACUGGCCAUUCUGGAUUAUACAGAUGCUGGCCUUACUUGUGAGCAGGCUUUGUUCCAUCUGGAGGUGUUAAGCAGUUUACAAAGCCACCAGCAGGAAGCCAGUCCAGCAUAUGCACCAUCGUGGGGACAGGAGACCCCUUCCAGCUGCCAAGGAUGGUGCAGGCAUUGGGGAGGCCAUUUAUCACCUGCAUGUGACAAGCUGCUGGUUUGGGAUCUGUAGUGGAACUAUUGCAUCCCCAGAAAAACCUGGAAAGUUCAUUUAAAUAGAAUUUAAGCUCUCUAGCUUAUUAUUUAGGAUUUAUGGAUAUCUCUAUCCAGUUUUCCUAGACAAAUAAAUCACUGCUAUGAAUUGCGCUGUUUCUGAUA